rnacentral:SRP_RNA from 2 species
GCUGGGUGUGGUGGUGCGCGCCUAUAGUCCCAGCUACUUGGGAGGCUGAGACAGGAGAAUCACUUGAACCCAGGAGGCAGAGAUUGCAGUGAGCCAAGAUUGUGCCACUGCACUCCAGCCUGGGUGACAGAGUGAGAGUUUGUCUCAA